rnacentral:misc_RNA from 1 species
GAAAUGCGAUAAGUAAUGUGAAUUGCAGAAUUCAGUGAAUCAUCGAAUCUUUGAACGCACAUUGCGCCCGCCAGUAUUCUGGCGGGCAUGCCUGUUCGAGCGUCAUUUCAACCAUCAAGCCCCGCGCUUGUGUUGGGGACCUGCGGCUGCCGCAGGCCCUGAAAACCAGUGGCGGGCUCGCUGUCACACCGGGCGUAGUAGAUUUUAUCUCGCUCAGGGCGUGCUGCGGGUUCCGGCCGUUAAAAAGCCUUUUUUACCCAAGGUUGACCUCGGAUCAGGUAGGCAGACCCGCUGAACUUACGC